rnacentral:rRNA from 1 species
UACGUAGGGAGCGAGCGUUAUCCGGAUUUAUUGGAUGUAAAGGGUUCGUAGGCGGCUUCUUAAGUCUGUAGUCUAAGCCCGGAGCUUAACUCCGGUUCGCUACAGAAACUGAGUUGCUUGAGUAUGGUAGAGGCAAGUGGAAUUUCUAGUGUAGCGGUUAAAUGCGUAGAUAUUAGAAGGAACACCAGUGGCGAAGGCGACUUGCUGGGCCAUCACUGACGCUGAGGAACGAAAGCGUGGGGAGCAAAUAGG